rnacentral:tRNA from 1 species
UGGGAUAUAGCCAAGUGGAAAGGCUUCAGAUUCUGAAUCUGACAUGCGGUGGUUCGAACCCACCUAUCCCAGCCA